rnacentral:rRNA from 1 species
AUUGAACGCUGGCGGCAGGCCUAACACAUGCAAGUCGAACGAGUGGCGGACGGGUGAGAAAUGUCUGGGAAACUGCCUGAUGGAGGGGGAUAACUACUGGAAACGGUAGCUAAUACCGCAUACCAUAAGAUGUGCCCAGAUGGGAUUAGCUUGUUGGUGGGGUAACGGCUCACCAAGGCGACGAUCCCUAGCUGGUCUGAGAGGAUGACCAGCCACACUGGAACUGAGACACGGUCCAGACUCCUACGGGAGGCAGCAGGGUGGAAUAUUGCACAAUGGGCGCAAGCCUUAUGCAGCCAUGGCGCGUUUAUGAAGGAGGUCUUCGGAUUGUAAAGCACUUUAAGUUGGGAGGCGUUACCAACAGAAUAAGCACCGGCUAACUUCGUGCGAGCAGCCGCGGUAAUUC